GCCGAAUGACGGGGGCGCCGGGAGACCGGCUGAGACGCACCCUUGGAACCUGAUCCGGAUCGUACCGGCGGAGGGAGUCGCGGCGCGGCUCCC
rnacentral:ncRNA from 2 species